AUUGAACGCUGGCGGCAGGCCUAACACAUGCAAGUCGAGCGGAGCGGCGGACGGGUGAGUAAUGCCUAUGAAUCUGCAUGGUCGUGAUGGAUAACGUCCGGAAACGGGCGCUAAUACCGCAUACUAUCCGAAGAGCCUGGGUCGGAUUAGCUAGUGGGUGGGGUAAAGGCAUACCAAGGCGACGAUCAGUAACUGGUCUGAGAGGAUGAGCAUCCACACUGGAACUGAGACACGGUCCAGACUCCUACGGGAGGCAGCAGUGGGGAAUAUUGGACAAUGGGCGAAAGCCUGAUCCAGCCAUGCCGCGUGUGUGAAGAAGGUCUUCGGAUUGUAAAGAACUUUAAGUUGGGAGGCGUUACCCACAGAAUAAGCACCGGCUAACUUCGUGCCAGCAGCCGCGGUAAUAC
rnacentral:rRNA from 1 species